UGAGGAAACUGAUGCCUAGAGAGCUCAAGCAAUUGGCCUUAUAACAGGUAUGGAUUAGAAUGGAUAGCCACCGAGAUCUGUUCCAACUCUGAAAUUCUUUGAUGCUACUAUCAAAACACAGUAGAUUUUUCAUCUAUUAGGAAAAAAGGUAAAACAUUUUAUGCAUGAUAUGGUUUUGGAUUUUUUCUUGGCUUCCAGAAAAUGAUACUUG
rnacentral:lncRNA from 1 species